ACACGAGCGGCGAACGGGUGAGUAACACGUGAGUAACCUGCCCCUGACUCUGGGAUAAGCCGUGGAAACGCGGUCUAAUACCGGAUAUGACACCGUGCCGCAUGGCGGGGUGUGGAAAGUUGUUUCGGUUGGGGAUGGACUCGCGGCCUAUCAGCUUGUUGGUGGGGUAAAGGCCUACCAAGGCGAUUACGGGUAGCCGGCCUGAGAGGGCGACCGGCCACACUGGGACUGAGACACGGCCCAGACUCCUGCGGGAGGCAGCAGUGGGGAAUAUUGCGCAAUGGGCGGAAGCCUGACGCAGCGACGCCGCGUGGGGGAUGACGGCCUUCGGGUUGUAAACCUCUUUUACCACUCACGCAGGCCCGGGGUUUUCUUCGGGUUGACGGUAGGUGGGGAAUAAGGACCGGCUAACUACGUGCCAGCAGCCGCGGUAAUACGUAGGGUCCGAGCGUUGUCCGGAAUUAUUGGGCGUAAAGAGCUCGUAGGCGGUGUGUCGCGUCUGCUGUGAAAGGCUGGGGCUCAACCCUGGUUUUGCAGUGGAUACGGGCAUGCUAGAGGUAGGUAGGGGAGACUGGAAUUCCUGGUGUAGCGGUGAAAUGCGCAGAUAUCAGGAGGAACACCGGUGGCGAAGGCGGGUCUCUGGGCCUUACCUGACGCUGAGGAGCGAAAGCGUGGGGAGCGAACAGGAUUAGAUACCCUGGUAGUCCACGCCGUAAACGUUGGGCGCUAGGUGUGGGGGCUUUCCACGGUUCCCGUGCCGCAGCUAACGCAUUAAGCGCCCCGCCUGGGGAGUACGGCCGCAAGGCUAAAACUCAAAGGAAUUGACGGGGGCCCGCACAAGCGGCGGAGCAUGUUGCUUAAUUCGACGCAACGCGAAGAACCUUACCAAGGUUUGACAUCACCGGUAAUCCGUUAGAGAUAGCGGGUCCUUCGGGGAUCGGUGACAGGUGGUGCAUGGCUGUCGUCAGCUCG
rnacentral:rRNA from 1 species